AGGCUUCCCAACGGAAGCCAAGAGCAAGGAUUACAGAGUCCCAAGAGGAAACAAUUUCCAACCUCAAGGUCUGGGAAGUUCAAGGUUGAGGGGUCACAUCUGGUUGGCUUCUGGUGAGAGCCUUCAUGGCGUGUCAUAGCGUGGCAGAAAACUGGAAGGGCAGGAAGAAGAAAUGCCAGAGGUAGAAAUUGACAUUGAUGAUCUUCUUGAUGCAGACAGUGAUGAAGAGAGAGCUUCAAAGUUACAGGAAGCUCUUGUAGACUGCUACAAACCAACAGAGGUAAACAAAUUACUCUUCCUAAA